UUGGAACUCUAUAGAAAGUUUGGCUGUA
rnacentral:piRNA from 1 species